UACGUAUGGUGCAAGCGUUAUCCGGAUUUACUGGGCGUAAAGGGAGCGCAGGCGGUGCGCCAAGUCUGAUGUGAAACCCCGGGGCUCAACCCCGGGCAUGCAUUGGAAACUGGCGGGCUGGAGUGCCGGAGAGGUAAGCGGAAUUCCUAGUGUAGCGGUGAAAUGCGUAGAUAUUAGGAGGAACACCAGUGGCGAAGGCGGCCUGCUGGACGAUGACUGACGUUGAGGCUCGAAAGCGUGGGGAGCAAACAGG
rnacentral:rRNA from 1 species